GAAAAGCAGGAAAGGGAGGGCGGAGGCCUCAGCGAACAUGGCCGAGGACGAAGAAGAGAACUCGCAAGCCCGGCAACGUCUGCAGGAAUUGGUUGACCACCUGUAUCAUUUCCGAGAUCAUUAUUUUGAGAAUCACAGUGUGGAAGAUGCUGGGAAAAAACAACAGGAUGUUCAGGAAGAGAUGGAGAAGACUCUUCAAAAAAUGGAAGCCAUAGAUGGCCUCUCAGAAGGGCAAGCUUACACAUUGAUGCUUAAAGGAAAAGCUUUGAAUGUAUCAGCAUACUAUAACGCCCAGUCUGAAAAAUUGCUCUCCAAAGCGGUCAAGCUGGACCCGGAAUUGGUGGAAGCGUGGAAUCAAUUAGGCGAGGUUUACUGGAAAAAGGGUGAUGUCUCGGCAGCUCAUACCUGCUUCUCCGGAGCGCUUGGCCAUUGUAAGAACAAAGGCUCCUUGCAGAACCUCUCCAUGGUGUUACGGCAGCUGCACACCACUUCUCCUGAUGAACAUGUACAAAACGUGAUGGACAGCGUGCGGCAAGCCAAACUGGCUGUGCAGAUGGACGUGCACGACGGACGCUCUUGGUAUGUGUUGGGCAACGCCUACCUCUCCUUGUUCUUCAAUACAGGACAGAACCCCAAGAUCUCUCAGCAAGCACUGAGUGCCUAUGCUCAAGCAGAAAAGGUGGACUCCACUGCUUCUUGUAAUCCAGAUUUGCAUCUCAAUCGAGCCACGCUUUUUAAGUAUGAAGAAAACUACAUGGAAGCCCUGGAGGGUUUUUCACGGGCCGCAGCUCUUGACCCGGCUUGGCUGGAACCUCAACUACGGGAGCAGCAACUCAUGGAUUUCCUUGAGAGACUUAAUGGAUUCCUGGAAAACAAGGGCAAGGUGAAAGGCAAGAAGCUGCAAAACAUGUUGGGAAGUCUGCAAAGCUCCCACCUGGGCCCGUGUGGUGACGGACAUUAUCAAGGGCCUUCAGGUCAGAAGGUAGAACUACAGAGACGAUCCCUCAGUGCCUUGCAGCCUGGUGUUAACACGGGUACUGUGAUCUUGGGGAAGGUGUUGUUCAGCCUGACUACUGAAGAAAAAGUGCCUUUCACCUUUGGAUUGGUGGACUCUAUCGAAGGCCCUUGUUUUGCUGUCACUGUUUACAACAUGGUCCAAAGCUGGGGUGUCCUAAUUGGGGACUCGGUGGCCAUCCCUGAACCUCAUCUUCGACACCAUCACAUCCAACACCAGAACAAAAGUUUUACUUUUUCUAGCCUCCGCGUAGAUACUCCUCUACUUCUUGUGGUGAAUGGCAGAGUGCAAAGAUCCCAAAACCAGGCCGCUGCGACCAUUGCCUACCACGCACAAAGUGAAUGAGAAGAGAGAAAGGGCAGGGAUGCCCAGAUUUUUAGGCUACGUCAGUUCCUUCUCCUCGUACCGUUUUCAGUAAUUUAGAGAGGUCGGACCGAUUUGUAGAAAUACAAUCCAGUCGUUAAGUGAAGGAGUGAGAAAAAAGAGAAUUGUAGAACAUUUGCUCAAACUGGUGCUGAAUUCGCAUCUCUUUUGGUUUGUAUUCCCCCCCAAAUUUCUUUUCCAUAGACACUGGUGUCUGUUUUACUUUCAGUUGUUCUAAAAUGAGUGUCUACAGAAAAUCUGGGGGCUGCUCAAUUUUUAUUCCCCAUCUCUUUAACUUUCUCCCCCCCUUUUCUGACCUCUUCUUUCACAUUUGCUCUUGCUUUGCUUCAAUCGCA